rnacentral:rRNA from 1 species
UGAGGAAUAUUGGUCAAUGGGCGGAAGCCUGAACCAGCCAAGUCGCGUGAGGGAAGACGGCCCUAAGGGUUGUAAACCUCUUUUGCCGGGGAGCAAAAGCGCCGUGCGCGGUGCUAUGAGAGUACCCGGAGAAAAGCAUCGGCUAAUUCCGUGCCAGCAGCCGCGGUAAUACGGAAGAUGCGAGCGUUAUCCGGAUUUAUUGGGUUUAAAGGGGCGUAGGCGGACUAUCAAGUCAGUUGUGAAAGUCAUCGGCUCAACCGCUGAAUUGCAGUUGAAACUGGUAGUCUUGAGUGCACAUGAGGAUGGUGGAAUUCGUAGUGUAGCGGUGAAAUGCUUAGAUAUUACGAAGAACUCCGAUUGCGAAGGCAGCUAUCUGGGGUGCAACUGACGCUGAGGCUCGAAGGUGUGGGUAUCAAACAGGAUUAGAUACCCUGGUAGU